CCAAUAUUAUACAAACAAAAGUAUAUGUUGACCUGAUAAGCGUCGCUGUCGUCAUUCUUUUUAUAUAUCAUUUUAAGGAACCAUAUAUGGGUUGGUACUUGUUGGUCUUCCUUCAUAGCAAGCCAUUGUUUGGAGAAAAGAGUAACAAGAAAACAAAAGAGAUGUUGAAUCUGUUGAUGAGAGAAGAGGUACUAUUGGUAGUGCAGAACUGUUACCACAUAAUCUUGGUCGCAUUAUUCACUAUAGGAGUAACAUAUUUCGCUUCAAGAGCAUGGAAGAGAGCUACCACAAACCAUAGAGAAGAGAUUCCUGGAAGGUUGGGACUGCCUUUUCUUGGGGAAACUCUUGCUUUUCUUUCAGCCACUAAUAGCACAAGGGGAUGCUAUGAUUUUGUCAGACUUAGGCGAUUGUGGAAUGGAAGAUGGUUCAAGACAAGGCUAUUUGGGAAGAUCCACAUAUUUGUUCCUAAUCCUGAAGGAGCAAGGACCAUAUUUGCCAAUGACUUUGUACUGUUCAACAAGGGUUACGUGAAAUCAAUGGCAGAUGCCGUGGGAGAGAAAAGCUUAUUAUGUGUACCCGUUGAGAGUCACAAAAGAAUAAGGCGUCUUCUAUCAGAACCAUUUUCCAUGACUUCCCUAUGCGCAUUUGUCACCAAAUUUGACAAACUGUUGUGUGGAAGGCUACAAAAGCUAGAAGAAAGCGGG
rnacentral:sRNA from 1 species